rnacentral:rRNA from 1 species
GUGAAAACUUGGGGCUCAACCCCAAAUUGCAUUGGAUACUGGCAAACUAGAGUUAUGUAGAGGUAAGCGGAAUUCCUUGUGAAGCGGUGAAAUGCGUAGAUAUAAGGAAGAACACCAACUUGGCGAAGGCAGCUUACUGGACAUACACUGACACUGAGAGACGAAAGCGUGGGGAGCAAACAGGAUUAGAUACCCUGGUAGUCCACGCCGUAAACGAUGAUGAUUAGCUGAUGGGGAACUCAUCGGCGCAGCUAACGCAUUAAAUCAUCCGCCUGAGUAGUAUGCUCGCAAGAGUGAAACUUAAAGGAAUUGACGGGGAUCCGCACAAGCGGUGGAGCAUGUGGUUUAAUUUGAAGAUACGCGUAGA